UACAGAGGGUGCGCGCGUUACUCGGAAUUACUGGGCGUAAAGCGCGCGUAGGCGGCUUUUCAAGUCGAUUGUGAAAUCCCCGGGCUUAACCUGGGAACUGCAGUCGAGACUGUCUAGCUAGAGUAUGGGAGAGGGAAGUGGAAUUUCAGGUGUAGCGGUGAAAUGCGUAGAUAUCUGAAGGAACAUCAGUGGCGAAAGCGACUUCCUGGACCAAUACUGACGCUCAUGUGCGAAAGCGUGGGGAGCAAACAGG
rnacentral:rRNA from 1 species